rnacentral:rRNA from 1 species
UACGGAGGGAGCUAGCGUUGUUCGGAAUUACUGGGCGUAAAGCGCGCGUAGGCGGCUUUGUAAGUUAGAGGUGAAAGCCUGGAGCUCAACUUCAGAAUUGCCUUUAAGACUGCAUCGCUUGAACCCGGGAGAGGUGAGUGGAAUCCGAGUGUAGAGGUGAAAUUCGUAGAUAUUCGGAAGAACACCAGUGGCGAAGGCGGCUCACUGGACCGGCAUUGACGCUGAGGUGCGAAAAGCGUGGGGGAGCAAACAGG